UUUUGAUUUAUUUUAAACCAAUAGAUUUUAGUCUAAAACCGAGAUCGAACCAAGCUGAAUGAUCACUUUUCAAAACCAAACCGAUUCGAUUCGGUUUGAACGGCUGGUUUUCGAUUAUCUCAAACUAUAGGAACCCAAACUAAGAUUUUUGAACCUAGCAAAGCUCUGGAGUCUGGAGUAUGGAGUCUGGACGCUGUAGAGGAUUCCAUGGGAUCCCUCACUCUUAGUUUCAGUGAAAGCCCAGCAACAGAUUUCUCAUGGCAGAGGUUUUGAAACAUUGAGUUCAAAAUAAGAGCUCCAUUGAGGAGAAGACAAAGAUAUUCAAUGGUGGUCUCUGCCUUUCUUACGAGAAAUUCUAGAAGCACAAUGUCGAAACCAUUCGAUUCCCUAGCCCUCGACUUUGAAGGAAAAAAUCAGUUUCUUGAAGGUCAUGGAUGGACAGUCAAAGCUUCAGAUGCUAUCAUUCCAAGCUCCCAAGAUUAGGCUCCUCUGUGGUUUGACCAGGGAGUGAAGGAAUGUAGGUUUUGGAUUUUGCUGUACUACCAGAGCCAGAAUUUGACCUGCCUAUUUUUUGUGCCAUCUUUUCACUGCUGCUGGUGUGGACAUAAUAGUCUUGUGCAUGUCACAUCAUCUUUGGUUCAAGAAGGGUGCUGUCUGCCCCCAAAUUGUAUUACUUAUAGAAAUAGAAUACCAAAUUGCACAAAUUGAAUCCCUCAGCUUUCCGAAACUUCCAAUUUACCAUCUUCUGAGACUG